rnacentral:rRNA from 1 species
UACGGAGGGGGGCUAGCGUUGUUCGGAAUUACUGGGCGUAAAGCGCGCGUAGGCGGCUUUGUAAGUUAGAGGUGAAAGCCCGGAGCUUAACUCCGGAACUGCCUUUAAGACUGCAUCGCUAGAAUCGUGGAGAGGUGAGUGGAAUUCCGAGUGUAGAGGUGAAAUUCGUAGAUAUUCGGAAGAAACACCAGUGGCGAAGGCGACUGACUGGACAAGUAUUGACGCUGAGGUGCGAAAGCGUGGGGAGCAAACA